rnacentral:tRNA from 1 species
CUGGGUUAGUUUAAAGUUUAAAAUUUAAUAUUUGGGGUGUUAGGAUUGGUCUCGGU